AGAGAAGCGAAGCGGUGACGUGGAGCAAACCUCAGAAAGCCAAUCUCAGUUCGGAUUGUAGGCUGCAACUCGCCUACAUGAAGUUGGAAUCGCUAGUAAUCGCGAAUCAGAAUGUCGCGGUGAAUACGUUCCCGGGUCUUGUACACACCGCCCGUCACACCACGAGAGUUUACAACACCCGAAGUCAGUGGCCUAACCGCAAGGAGGGAGCUGCCUAAGGUGGGGUAGAUGAUUGGGGUGAAGUCGUAACAAGGUAUC
rnacentral:rRNA from 1 species